rnacentral:rRNA from 1 species
UACGUAGGCAGCGAGCGUUGUUCGGAAUUACUGGGCGUAAAGAGUGUGUAGGCGGUGCUCUAAGUUCGGUGUGAAAUCUCCCGGCUUAACUGGGAGGGUGCGCCGGAAACUGGAGUGCUCGAGCGUGGGAGAGGAAAGCGGAAUUCCUGGUGUAGCGGUGGAAUGCGUAGAUAUCAGGAGGAACACCUGCGGUGUAGACGGCUUUCUGGACCACUGCUGACGCUGAGACACGAAAGCGUGGGUAGCAAACAGG